rnacentral:rRNA from 1 species
CACCAGGUUGAUUCUGCCUGACGUAGAUGCUAGUCUCGAAGACUAAGCCAUGCAUGCCCGUGAACCGCGAGGGGAACGGCGAACGGCUCAGUAAUACUGCGACCAUCUGCCCUCUGCGGGAAAUAACCAGGGGAAACUGUGGCUAAGAGCGGAGGUUGAGACGCAGUCCUAUCAGCUUGUUGGCAGUGUAACGGACUGCCAAGGCGGCGACGGGUGACGGGAGAUUGGGGUCUGACACCGGAGAGGGAGCCUGAGAGAUGGCUCCCACGUCCAAGGACGGCAGCAGCCGCGGUAAUACCGACUCCAAGAGUGUCUAUGGUGGAUGCUGCAGUUAAGACGUCUGUAGUCGUGCUGCACUGAAAGGGCGCUGGUUGAGGGCGCAGUCGGUGCAACGGGUUGCGGAGCGGACAGGGUGCGCGGUAUAGGCGGGCGAGAGAUGAAAUGCCAAGACCCCGCCUGGACCGACGGGGGCGCAGGCGGCGCGCCUGGACGCGUCUGGGGAUCAAGGACGAAGGCUGGAGGAUCGAAAGUGAUUAGAGACCGCUGUAGUUCCAGCAGUAAACGAUGCCGGCACUGCGUGGCGCAGGCUGCGCGGGGGCGAAAGCUUAGCGUUCGGGCUCUGGGGAUAGUAUGCUCGCAAGUGUGAAAAUUGAAGAAAUU